ensembl:lncRNA
UUACUAUUAAUCUGCUCCAUACAGAAGGAAGAUUUAACUUCCUGUAUCUCAAUAUUCCCCUAGAGGAUAUUAUGAAAUACUGAUAUUGCAUUUGCUGUUUUCUAGUCACUGGGAUCUGAGGUAAUUUAAGCAAUAGAGUGUAGGGGCGUUCAAUGGCUUGGUCAUUUCAAACCAUUCUAGGACUGAGUCAAGCAGAAAUGAUUCACACUCAGGUAGCUGGCUUUCACAGUGAUUGUUGUGCUGCAUUGCUGCGGGAAAUCUCAGAGGGGAAAAAUGUGCCAUGCUGCAAAUUUAAUCGCCUGUAGGUAAGCACCACCUCAUCUAGCUGCAGCUGUUGCUGAGCUGUGCUGCAGAGCCAAGGACGUUUCUGCUUCUUCUGUUGUCCUGCCAGCAAGGAGCUGGAGGUGCACAAGAUACUGGAAGAGGACACUGCCAGGACAGCUGACCUAAACUGCCCAAAGGAAUGUUCCUUACUGGCUGACAUAAGUCAAUGAGUGGGCACUGAGCAAAUGGCUGAGUGGUGGUGAGCUGCCUGACAGGUUAAACCACAAUAUACUCCAGGUCGCACCAGCUUUCUGAGGGUUGUGGCAGGAGUAACAGAUGCAACAAUUCAUGGAAGUUUUAUUUUUAGAUGCAAAUCUCAGCACUGGGGCAGAUCUUUGGCAUAUGUCAGGGCAGUUUUAUUGACUGAAGUUUAUUCUAUAUCAAUACAAGCUUACCUGAAAAUGUACUUUUGGGAUUAUUCUCUCCACAUUCACAGAGAAACAGAUUUAUCCAGUGAAAAAAAUUCUGUUUAUUCAGACAUGCUCUACAGUGUACCAUUCCUCAUCUACAAGAGUAAAAAUGUUGAACUUCAGUUUGUGGAAUGUGGUUGUCUUUGUGUUCAAAAUAAAUUUUAAACAAAUGUAAUAGUUUUGUGCCUCCAGAUAUCACAACUGCCAUUAAUUAGUAAUCCUGGAAAAUCUGCUUAGAGUUAACAACAGGUGAUUAGAUAAGCAACUAACCAAAGUCCUACUGCUUGUGGCUGGAUUACUUGAAAGUUCUCCUUAUUGUCACUGGGGUUUUUCAUUUCUGUUUGGGCUGAAAAUGCUUUGCAAAUAGUUUAACUUCAAGUCUUAGCAGCACCUGUGAGAAGGGAAAAAUAUUAAAAUCAAAAGUAAAACUUCUGCAACUUUUUGUCAUGCUGCUUUUUUUUGAAAUGAACAUCUGAAGUGGAAACUUCUUGGAAAACC